GGAAGCGGGGAGGGGCGGCGGGGCGGGGGCCUCCGGAAAAACGCCCCGACUUCCUGCCCCGCCAGAGCCAGGAAGCGGGAGCCGGGACCCAGGGCCCGGGAUCGCCGAGCCCGACCUCGGGCGCCCCGCCGGUCACCUCCGCGCGGACACCAGCCCUGCAGAGCCCAGGGAGAUGGAAGACUUCGCCCGAGGGGCGGCCUCCCCAGGCCCCUCCCGGCCUGGCCUGGUUCCCGUCAGCAUCAUCGGGGCUGAGGAUGAGGAUUUUGAGAACGAGCUGGAGACAAACUCGGAAGAGCAAAACAGCCAGUUCCAGAGCCUGGAGCAGGUGAAGCGGCGCCCAGCCCACCUCAUGGCCCUCCUGCAGCACGUGGCCCUGCAGUUUGAGCCAGGACCCCUGCUUUGCUGUCUGCAUGCCGACAUGCUGGGCUCACUGGGCCCCAAGGAGGCCAAGAAGGCCUUCCUGGACUUCUACCACAGCUUCCUGGAGAAGACAGCGGUUCUCCGGGUGCCGGUCCCUCCCAACGUCGCCUUUGAACUUGACCGCACUAGGGCUGACCUCAUCUCCGAGGAUGUCCAGCGGCGGUUCGUGCAGGAGGUGGUGCAAAGCCAGCAGGCAGCCGUGGGCCGGCAGCUGGAGGACUUCCGCUCCAAGCGGCUCAUGGGCAUGACGCCCUGGGAGCAGGAGCUGGCCCAGCUGGAGGCUUGGGUUGGGCGGGACCGAGCCAGCUACGAGGCCCGGGAGCGGCACGUGGCGGAGCGGCUGCUCAUGCACCUGGAGGAGAUGCAACAUACCAUCUCUACCGACGAAGAAAAGAGUGCUGCCGUGGUCAACGCCAUUGGCCUGUACAUGCGCCACCUUGGGGUGCGGACCAAGAGUGGAGACAAGAAGUCGGGGAGGAACUUCUUCCGGAAAAAGGUGAUGGGGAACCGGCGGUCGGACGAGCCUGCCAAGACCAAGAAGGGGCUGAGCAGCAUCCUGGAUGCCGCCCGCUGGAACCGGGGAGAGCCCCAGGUUCCAGAUUUUCGACACCUCAAAGCAGAGGUUGAUGCCGAGAAGCCAGGUGCUACAGACCGGAAGGGAGGCGUGGGGAUGCCCUCUCGGGACCGGAAUAUCGGGGCUCCUGGGCAGGACACCCCUGGAGUCUCUCUGCACCCUCUGUCCCUGGACAGCCCAGACCGGGAACCAGGUGCUGACGCCCCCCUGGAGCUGGGGGACUCAUCCCCACAGGGCCCAAUGAGCCUGGAGUCCUUGGCGCCCCCAGAGAGUACCGAUGAGGGGGCCGAAACCGAGAGGCUAUCAGGGCGUCUGGGGCGCUCAGAGAGCCUGCGGGUGAGUGACCGCCGCCGGCCUUCCCGGGGCAGCCUCGGGGCUAAGGGCCGGGGUGGGGGCCGCUCCCGGAGCGACGUGGACAUGGACCCCAGUUCCGCCACGGCAGUGCUUGGCCCUGCCCGACGAGCCACCCCCGAGCCUGGAGAUGAGGGGGAGCCGGGGCGGUCGGGACUGGAGCUUGAACCAGAAGAGCCUCCCGGCUGGCGGGAACUCGUCCCCCCAGACACCCUGCACAGCCUGCCCAAGAGCCAGGUGAAGCGGCAGGAGGUCAUCAGCGAGCUGCUGGUGACAGAGGCGGCCCACGUGCGCAUGCUGCGGGUGCUGCACGACCUCUUCUUCCAGCCCAUGGCAGAAUGCCUGUUCUUCCCCUUGGAGGAGCUGCAGAACAUCUUCCCCAGCCUGGACGAGCUCAUCGAGGUGCAUUCCCUGUUCCUUGAUUCCCUGGUGAAGCGGAGGCAGGAGAGUGGCUACCUCAUCGAGGAGAUCGGAGACGUGCUGCUGGCCCGGUUUGAUGGUGCUGAGGGCUCCUGGUUCCAGAAAAUCUCCUCCCGCUUCUGCAGCCGCCAGUCAUUUGCCUUAGAGCAGCUCAAAGCCAAGCAACGCAAGGACCCUCGGUUCUGUGCCUUCGUGCAGGAAGCUGAGAGCCGCCCGCGGUGCCGCCGCCUGCAGCUGAAGGACAUGAUCCCCACGGAGAUGCAGCGGCUAACCAAGUACCCCCUGCUCCUGCAGAGCAUCGGGCAGAACACAGAAGAGCCCACAGAACGGGAGAAAGUGGAGCUGGCAGCCGAGUGCUGCCGGGAAAUUCUACACCACGUCAACCAAGCCGUGCGUGACAUGGAGGACCUGCUGAGGCUCAAGGACUAUCAGCGGCGCCUGGACUUGUCCCACCUUCGGCAGAGCAGCGACCCUAUGCUGAGCGAAUUCAAGAACCUGGACAUCACCAAGAAAAAAUUGGUCCACGAGGGCCCACUGACGUGGCGGGUGACUAAGGACAAGGCAGUGGAGGUGCAUGUGCUGCUGCUGGACGACCUGCUGCUGCUGCUCCAGCGCCAGGACGAGCGGCUGCUGCUCAAGUCCCAUAGCCGGACACUGACGCCCACACCCGAUGGCAAGACCAUGCUGCGGCCCGUGCUGCGGCUCACCUCCGCCAUGACCCGCGAGGUGGCCACCGAUCACAAAGCCUUCUACGUCCUUUUUACCUGGGACCAGGAGGCCCAGAUAUACGAGCUGGUGGCACAGACUGUGUCGGAGCGGAAAAACUGGUGUGCCCUCAUCACUGAGACUGCCGGAUCCCUGAAAGUCCCUGCCCCUGCCUCUCGCCCUAAGCCCCGGCCCAGCCCGAGCAGGCCUCUGUGUCUUCCAUUGUCUGGGCCUCUCUGUCUCCCUGUCUCCCGGCCUCGACCUCUGUCUCUGUCUCCGGACCUCCCUGCCUCCCCACCUCCAGCUCUCUGUCUCCCUGCCCCUGCGGCCCCCCAGGGCCAGGGGUGUGGGGUCACCCAGCACUUCCUCCCCUCAGCACCCGAGAACCCCUCCUCAGCAGCUCUGAGAACGGCAAUGGUGGCCGAGAGACGUCUCCAGCUGAUGCCCGGACUGAGAGAAUCCUCAGUGACCUCCUGCCCUUCUGCAGACCAGGCCCCGAGGGCCAGCUCGCUGCCACGGCCCUUCGGAAAGUGCUGUCCCUGAAGCAGCUUCUGUUUCCGGCGGAGGAAGACAAUGGGGCGGGGCCUCCUCGAGAUGGGGAUGGGGUCCCAGGGGGCGGCCCCCUGAGCCCAGCACGGACCCAGGAAAUCCAGGAGAACCUGCUCAGCUUGGAGGAGACCAUGAAGCAGCUGGAGGAGUUGGAGGAGGAAUUUUGCCGCCUGCGACCCCUCCUGUCUCAGCUUGGGGGGAACUCUGUCCCCCAGCCUGGCUGCACUUGAGGUUCCCGCCCAGGAAGGCCUUUUGCAAGGAGAGGAAUGGGGGAGAGGACGUGAGGGACCACCCCCACCCACACAGCUGCCGCAGCAUCUCACACCCCGAGGGCCUGAGGAGAGGGAGCUGUGGGCCACGCCUGGGAGGGGCCCAGCUGGGGUUACUGGCCCCGCAUGAGCCUCGGCCAUCUCUCCCUCCUGCCCUCUGCUUGGGGGACUCAGGGCUCCAUUCUGGAGGGCACCACGGUGACCCGGGCCAUCUCAGUAUUGCCUGUGGGGGCCACCCCUCCACCCCCACCCCCAAGUGCCUUCGCUCUGUUUUUAUACCCUGAAUUGGAGGUUUAUUUUUUAAUAUAUAUUAUCUAAGAAGA